UUGUCAUUCUUUUGUUGCAAGAAGUUUAUAUAGUGAAAACUUCGAGAAUUGUAUUUCAUCCGCAACUAGUAUGGAUAUGAUGAGAAAGGCAAAGACUCUAUCUUUGAGGGGAAUCCUUAGUAGUUGCAAAAAUAUCAUUCCUGACCUGUGGCAAAAAAUAGGAGGAGGUAUGAAUGAGUUGACUCUCCUUGAACUUCUUGAAUCAGAUGGGAUAGAAUGCGUGAUAGGCUAUGCAGCUAAUCCAAGUCAAGUUGGAUUCAUCUCCAAUUUGACUCGUCUAGCUCUUUCAAAGCUGAAGAAUCUGAAGACUUUGAAUAGUGGUGAGCUUCCUCAAGGUCUUUUUGCAAACUUGGAGGAGCUUGAUAUAAAAAGCUGUGAUUCGCUUGAGCAGGUACUGACAGAAGAUGAGAAAGAAAUAGUUCAUGGAAGUGAAUAUCAAAGUUAUGAAAAUGCAUUCCCCAAAUUGAAAAGACUUAUAAUAUCGGAUUGCAAAAAACUAGAAUACUUAAUGCCUAUCUCUUUCGCAAAGAGCCUUACACAUUUGGAACAUUUAUAUGUGGCUGCAAGUGAUGAAUUAAGAAGUGUGUUUGGCCAAUCUCUUUAUGAAGGCUUAAAUCUAAACAGGCCUCAAAUGAUUGAGUUUUUUGCUCUGGAGUAUCUUCAACUUAGGAAAAUGCCAAAUAUCAUUAGUAUAUGUCCUGAAAAUUAUCAUCUGACGUGGCCUUCUUUGAAAUUGUUGGAUUCAUAUCAAUGUCCACGGUUAAAUAUAAAGUUUACCAAUUAUCGGGUUGCAUAUGGUGGAUUGAGACAAGAGGAUGAUCAGAUGAUUUCUGAGGACCAAUUAAAGGGGGUUUUAGCCUUUCAAGAAACUUUACAGCGACUACUUGUUUCACAUAACGAUGAAGUUGCAGUUUUUUUUUAUGUCGAACAGCUUCCUAUCAAUAGACAACAAAUUAACUUGAGUUUAUAUGAUCUUUUUUUGGUUGGUCUGCCCAAAUUAAGGCAUAUAUGGAGGGGUCCCAAAAAUUCUUUACUCCUUCAACAUCUUCAAUGGUUAAAACUAUUCAAGUGUGGAAAUUUGAAAGAAGUAUUCCCUUCAUUCAUCUUGAAAGACCUCCCGCAACUGAGGGAACUUCACAUUGAAGGUUGUGAUGAGUUGGAGAAAAUCAUUGAAGAAGAUGAUCAAAAUGUGUCAACCUCUCCACAACUUGUCUUCCCAAGACUUGCUUCAAUAAUGAUCAUAUAUUGCCAUAAGUUGAAAUGCGUAUUCCCUAAGAUCUCCACAUGUGGAGUGAUCCCAAAUCUAAAGUCACUGUUCAUAAAAGAUGCACCUGUACUAGACCAAGUAUUUGGAGAUGACACAACACACAUACCAAGAUGUCACUCCAGCAUUGAAAUAUCUUGUACUUUGGAACCUUCCCUCACUCACUUUGAUUGCUCCAUCCAUCGCUUUUCAAAAUGUGACACACAUUGAUGUGCUAGGAUGUCCCAAACUAUCUCUUGCUUCCUCUGUUACUCCUGAAGAAAUCCUUGAAGAACUGGGAAAAGAAUGUUGAAGGAGGAGCUGCAGAGUGUACUACAUCAGAGAAUGUUCAGAUUGUUACUUCAUUAGCUCAUUCAGAACCAGAAAGCUCAACCAAAAGUAUCAAUCAAAUAAUGCCUGGCUCAGAGAUAUCUGUUGCAAUGCCAACUUCAUAUUUACUUCCUCAAUCGAUUAGCAAGCCGUCAACAAGUAAUCCUGUAGAUAUAUCUCUCCCUAAAACACCUGAUGAUGAAACUGAGUUGGUCAAUACAAUAUCAACCAGUCUAUCAGGUUUGAAGGACCAGCAACAAUCACUUGCAAAAAUUGAAAUU